UACGGGGGGAGCAAGCGUUGUUCGGAUUUACUGGGCGUAAAGGGCGCGUAGGCGGUCAGCACAAGUCAGUUGUGAAAUCUCCGGGCUUAACCCGGAAAGGUCAACUGAUACUGUGCGACUAGAGUGCGGAAGGGGCAACUGGAAUUCUCGGUGUAGCGGUGAAAUGCGUAGAUAUUGGGAGGAACACCAGUGGCGAAGGCGGCUCACUGGACUGGUACUGACGCUGAGGCGCGAAAGCGUGGGGAGCAAACGGG
rnacentral:rRNA from 1 species